rnacentral:rRNA from 1 species
AUUGAACGCUGGCGGCAGGCCUAACACAUGCAAGUCGAACGAGUGGCGGACGGGUGAGUAAUGUCUGGGAAACUGCCUGAUGGAGGGGGAUAACUACUGGAAACGGUAGCUAAUCCCGCAUACCAUCGGAUGUGCCCAGAUGGGGUUAGCGAGUAGGUGGGGUAAAGGCUCACCUAGGCGACGACCCCUAGCUGGUCUGGGAGGUUGACCGGCCACACUGGAACGUAGAAACGGUCCAAACUCCUACGGGGGGCAGCAGUGGGGAAUAUUGGACAAUGGGCGAAAGCCUGAUGCAGCCAUGCCGCGUGUAUGAAGAAGGCCUUCGGUUUGUAAAGUACUUUCAGCGGGGAGGCGUUACCCGCAGAAGAAGCACCGGCUAACUCCGUGCCAGCAGCCGCGGUAAUAC